GCAUCUGAUGAGAAAUGGAAAUCUGGCUCAAAGUCAUUCUUCCUGUGCUUGACAUCACCUGAAAACUCCACUGAAAAUAUUUCCACUAGUUUGCUGCAAACAUCUGCUUCCCCUGAGGUCUCAACGCCCUGAGCAGUGCACCGUACUGUGGUACAGAGACCCAUUGUUGCUGUCGGUACUGGAAAAGAGUGAAGCUGGCAUCCCCAUUGUCCUCAGCCAGAGGACAAGAAGACACAGCUGUAAAAUGUUCAUCAGAAGAAACUGAAUGGUAGAUCCUUAAGAGUCCAGAGGAUGGCAUAGCAAUAACGUCACUGUCCAGGGAGCUGGGGUCCUUCCUCGCCUGCCUGCAUG